UACGUAGGGGCCAAGCGUUGUCCGGAUUUAUUGGGCGUAAAGAGCUCGUAGGCGGUUGGGUAAGUCGGGUGUGAAAACUCCAGGCUCAACUUGGAGAUGCCACCCGAUACUGCUCUGACUUGAGUUCGGUAGGGGAGUGGGGAAUUCCUGGUGUAGCGGUGAAAUGCGUAGAUAUCGAGAGGAACACCUGAGGUGAAGACGGGUUGCUGGGCUGACACUGACGCUGAUGCGCGAAAGCCAGGGUAGCAAACGGG
rnacentral:rRNA from 1 species